UACGAAGGGGCUAGGCGUUGCUCGGAAUCACUGGGCGUAAAGGGUGCGUAGGCGGGUCUUUAAGUCAGAGGUGAAAUCCUGGAGCUCAACUCCAGAACUGCCUUUGAUACUGAGGAUCUUGAGUAUGGGAGAGGUGAGUGGAACUGCGAGUGUAGAGGUGAAAUUCGUAGAUAUUCGCAAGAACACCAGUGGCGAAGGCGGACUCACUGGCCCAUUACUGACGCUGAGGCACGAAAGCGUGGGAGCAAACAGG
rnacentral:rRNA from 1 species